AUGGAGGAGGCAGCAGAGACUCUGCUCUCCUCGUUUGGAUUAAUUCUGAUAUAAUAACUGUUGGUUUAUUUAUCGGUGCAGCAGCAGAACAUUUUCCACAGACAGUUUUCCUGCCCGUUGGCUUGUUUUAACCAGUUUUCUACCUUCGGCUGAUUCUACCAGCAGACACUGAAAGGACUCUGAUAGUUCGAGUGAAAGUAGCAAUUCCUCCUUAAAGUCAGAGAUUGCAGCAUCUGAGGGCCUCUUCAAAAGAAGAUGUAGUUGAUGAAGGUGUUCUGGAGCAGGACCAGAAAGACCACGACCAAGCAGCCUUGAGAUCUUAGGCAGCGUCUCCCUCAGAUCCACCAACCACUGGAACACAUCUCCAAAGUUCUGCCGGUCCAGCUCAGCUUCCCCUCAGAAGAAGUUCCGCCACCUGCCAGAUGAAGGAGCCUUUUGAGUGGCAGCUGGCAUCGUGAUUGGACUGUACUUUGGUCUGUUCCAAUCCAGCUUCAGCUCCAGAGACGGCAGGCGGGACGAGUCAACGGAGGCCGGGUGGACGAAGGCAUGCAGCUGAGUACAAUCCAGAAAACAACAGAGGAGGAGUGCAGGGCCAGAACAAACAGAGUAGCAUCGUAUGUCUCUUAGAAAACAUCAUAGUAUAGCCUUUGGUAUGAAAAAACGCCAUCAUAUACAUCGUAUAUUGUACAAAUAACAAGUCAAAGCAAAGAGACAUACAUUGUAGAAUUGUAGUAAUUGUGGGCUGACUGAUUUACUGAUUAUCAGUAUUUUAUUUUUUACUGAUUUACAGUAAUAAAUACAUUUAAAAAUGGUGCUACUUUGGCUCUGAACCUUUAUCUACCUGUGGUCGCUCUGUCUUCUGGAGUGAUUUGAUUGGUUAUACGUCACGAAUAAAACUCCUUUAACUUAACAUCUGUAAACAAAACAAAAACGUAUCAACGA
ensembl:lncRNA